GGCCGGGUAACUCAGUCGGUAGAGCAUCGAACCAGUAUUCCGAAGCCCCGGGUUCGAGUCCCGGUCUGGCUG
rnacentral:tRNA from 1 species